rnacentral:rRNA from 1 species
AUGAACGCUAGCUACAGGCUUAACACAUGCAAGUCGAGGGGCAUCGGGAAGAAAGCUUGCUUUCUUUGCCGGCGACCGGCGCACGGGUGAGUAACACGUAUCCAACCUGCCCUUUACUCGGGGAUAGCCUUUCGAAAGAAAGAUUAAUACCCGAUGGGAUAAUUAUUCCGCAUGGUUUGAUUAUUAAAGGAUUCCGGUAAAGGAUGGGGAUGCGUUCCAUUAGGUUGUUGGUGAGGUCACGGCUCACCAAGCCUUCGAUGGAUAGGGGUUCUGAGAGGAAGGUCCCCCACAUUGGAACUGAGACACGGUCCAAACUCCUACGGGAGGCAGCAGUGAGGAAUAUUGGUCAAUGGGCGCUAGCCUGAACCAGCCAAGUAGCGUGAAGGAUGAAGGCUCUAUGGGUCGUAAACUUCUUUUAUAUAAGAAUAAAGUGCAGUAUGUAUACUGUUUUGUAUGUAUUAUAUGAAUAAGGAUCGGCUAACUCCGUGCCAGCAGCCGCGGUAAUACGGAGGAUCCGAGCGUUAUCCGGAUUUAUUGGGUUUAAAGGGAGCGUAGGUGGACUGGUAAGUCAGUUGUGAAAGUUUGCGGCUCAACCGUAAAAUUGCAGUUGAUACUGUCAGUCUUGAGUACAGUAGAGGUGGGCGGAAUUCGUGGUGUAGCGGUGAAAUGCUUAGAUAUCACGAAGAACUCCGAUUGCGAAGGCAGCUCACUGGACUGCAACUGACACUGAUGCUCGAAAGUGUGGGUAUCAAACAGGAUUAGAUACCCUGGUAGUCCACACAGUAAACGAUGAAUACUCGCUGUUUGCGAUAUACAGUAAGCGGCCAAGCGAAAGCAUUAAGUAUUCCACCUGGGGAGUACGCCGGCAACGGUGAAACUCAAAGGAAUUGACGGGAGCCCGCACAAGCAGUGGAGUAUGUGGUUUAAUUCGACGCAACGCGAAGAACCUUACCAAGUCUUGACAUCCUUCUGACCGGUACUUAACCGUACCUUCUCUUCGGAGCAGGAGUGACAGGUGGUGCAUGGUUGUCGUCAGCUCGUGCCGUGAGGUGUCGGCUUAAGUGCCAUAACGAGCGCAACCCUUAUCUUUAGUUACUAACAGGUUAUGCUGAGGACUCUAGAGAGACUGCCGUCGUAAGAUGUGAGGAAGGUGGGGAUGACGUCAAAUCAGCACGGCCCUUACGUCCGGGGCUACACACGUGUUACAAUGGGGGGUACAGAAGGCAGCUAGCGGGUGACCGUAUGCUAAUCCCAAAAGCCUCUCUCAGUUCGGAUCGAAGUCUGCAACCCGACUUCGUGAAGCUGGAUUCGCUAGUAAUCGCGCAUCAGCCACGGCGCGGUGAAUACGUUCCCGGGCCUUGUACACACCGCCCGUCAAGCCAUGGGAGCCGGGGGUACCUGAAGUACGUAACCGCAAGGAUCGUCCUAGGGUAAAACUGGUGACUGGGGCU